CCUGGUGGCUCAGAUAGUAGAGAAUCUGCCUGCAAUGCAGGAGAUCCAGGUUCAAUCCCUGGGUCAGGA
rnacentral:tRNA from 1 species